CCCCAGGAGCUGCUGUGGGCUCUGUCCCCUCUUGCUGUGCCUGGAGUGGGGUUUAGGUGGCAGUUCUUGUGGCUGUGGCAGCACAAGCUGUUUUUCCAGCUGUGGAAGGGGAUGUUUCCAGCUACAGAGAUCCCAGGAAAUACAUACUGGUUGGAAGGAGCCAGGCAAGAACACCAGGGGUAAGGGCUUUCCAGGAGCUCUUCUGCCUGUUGCUGAGCUGAUGUGCAAAGCCCCCGAGGAGGUGUUGGUCCCACCGGAGGAAGCACCGGGGUACCUGUCCCGCUGCCACUUGGCAUGUACCAUUUGGAGAUGGGUUUGUUCUCUGUGCCAGCCAGGAGAGAGGAUGCCAAGAUGCCUUCAAGUGGCACCAGAAUGCUGUCACAGGGGACGCAGUGAGAGCCACAGUCACAGCAGCAGCCAAGAGACCUGCAAAGCUCUGCAGCUCCUCGGUGGCUGAGACGGAACAGGGACCUCCUGAAGCCCAGUGCAACCGCGUAGCUCAGCUUGGAGCAACCAGCACGACCGAGGGCUGCGUGUCCUUCCUUACCAAGGAGAGGGCUGAAAUGGAAGAGGUUACCUGGCAAUGACUUCUUGCUAUUGUCAGCGGCUGUAAACAAGGUUGUGAACGUGAAAGUACUUGGUUGAAGAAGAACAGAUAAGAAGAAAAGAUAAUCCUGAAUGUCCUGGACUGCAAAAAGGCAAACUUAUUUUCCAAUAUCACUGCUCCUUUGUCACGUUAGGUCAAUUUUGUGAUCUAUUUGUAAUCACUGAGGUGUUAUUUUUCCCAAGUUCUUACAUGGGGAAGGAAGGGGAGGCACGGUUACUGUGUAUGGGCAGUACCCAGCACAAAAUGCACACAGAGUGGUCAGAUACCUUCUUUGCUUCUCCUUCCCUCCUCAUCCCCAUCAGCUUGAUCUCUGUUGACUCUGGGCUGAGUUUAUUUUUGCCUCAUUCAGCAACACUUACCUUAAGAGCCAAAAUACAAAAAGCUGGGGAUGUUUUGGUUGCUGUUUUGUCCAUAAUAUGGAAUUUUAAGUGGCCUCAGUUGAGAGGGACAAAUCAAGUAGCCUUCUGAAAAAUGCAGCAAAGAGCUGCUGCCCAAAGUCACCACUGAUGAUAACACUGAAUUAUCUUUUGUUGUGGAUUUCCAUCCAGCUGUUCCCUAACUCUGAAAGGGACCAUCAAAGGCCGAUUCUGCAUUUAUCCAUUCCUUCAGAAAGCACCCUAUAAGCUAUGAGUGAGUUCUUCUCCUGACCUUUAAAGCCUUUUGUCUUUGGAAAUCAGUGAUAAGAAUUGCAUGAAACUGGUGUAUUUUCACCCUAUGGCAGGAGUAGAUUGAUGAGAUGCCUAGUGCUGCCAGCACCGCUUUCCUUACCAGCCUUAUGUGUGUACGUAAGUUCGCGCCUGCUGUGCAUAAAAGCACGUACAGAUUUAGAUUGGCUGGAAGUCACUUGUUUUGUAUAUAAAUGGGUCCUGCUGGGCUGUCACUCACCCUGUACACUCGGGGGCUGCAAUACUGUUAACCAUGCGGCUUGUGUCUAUAUACCCGGGAAAAAACCCCAAGGGUUCCUUUGCCACAGCUUUGUGUGAAAGCACACGCUUCAGGAUCAUUCCUGCCAUGUGUUCUGAGCUGAGUACGUUUCUGCUUGUGCGUGGGUUGUGGAAGGAGCCCUGCACCAUGGACUGGACUGUCUCAGCCACCGGGGAAUGUCUCAAUAAGCAGUAGCUGGGAAGCUCCGUGACCAGGGAAGUUUCUCAGGGUUUUGUUGGCAGUCGUGAACGGCAGAAGAUGAACUUUUUUCCCCGCAAAAGACUCUUUCCUGCAAGAUGUGUACACAGCAUGGCAAAGGUGCUGGGGAGACAGAGGAGCUCCGUUUGCAGCCCCUGCCACAAGCACGGGGAUGGUGCCGAAAUGAUGCUCUGGUAACCCAGGCCAAAAAAAAGAAAGGUAUAAACAUACACCUUUUAAGACUGUUUUUUCUUUAAAUAGUUGGAAUAGUUUGACCAGCCCCCAGCUGCAGUGGUGAUAAUAUGAUUUUACACUAUUUAUUCUGAGCAGCUUUGCUUGCAGUUUUUAUAUCACAGCUAACUUUCUCCCUGAAAUGGUGCUAAACCCCAUGAAAUACAGCAGAUCUCUAUGCAGAAUCAAGGGACUCUGUUUCAGUGAAUCUGCAACAAUUCAAGGCAAGUUUCUCUGAGCACUCGGAUUUUUACAUCACAUUUUACAUGUUUUUCUAUUGAUAGCAUUGACAUGAUAUUUAGCAGUUAAAUCCCAAAUAUGUAAGUGGAAUUAAGACCUAUAUGUAUCCCGGUUACCUCAAACUGCUCAAACAUUAUUUGUGUAAAACAAUAAAAUAUGUUAAACAUCAAAA